UACGUAGGGUGCGAGCGUUAAUCGGAAUUACUGGGCGUAAAGCGUGCGCAGGCGGUGCUGUAAGACCGAUGUGAAAUCCCCGGGCUUAACCUGGGAACUGCAUUGGUGACUGCAGCGCUGGAGUAUGGCAGAGGGGGGUGGAAUUCCACGUGUAGCAGUGAAAUGCGUAGAGAUGCGGAGGAACACCGAUGGCGAAGGCAGCCCCCUGGGCUAGCACUGACGCUCAGGCACGAAAGCGUGGGGAGCAAACAGG
rnacentral:rRNA from 1 species